GGGGCGAUAGCUCAGCGGUUAGAGCAGGGCGCUCAUAACGCCUUGGUCGGGGGUUCAAAUCCCUCUCGCCCCACCA
rnacentral:tRNA from 2 species